AUUGAUCCCGUCGGACCCCACUGCUAUCGAGGUGGGACUAAGCCAUGCUAGUCGAACGAACAGAACUAUGUCUGUAAGUGGCAUACUGCUCAGUAACACGUAGCUAACCUACCCUUAGGACGUCGAUAACCCCGAGAAAUUGGGGCUAAUAGGCGAUAGGUGUGAUGUCCUGGAAUGGUAUUACGCCAAAAGGUAUCCCAUACAUGUUUGGUAUACGCCUAAGGAUGGGGCUGCGGCCGAUCAGGCAGUUGGUGAGGUAAUGGCUCACCAAACCUUUGACCGGUACGGGCCAUGAGAGUGGUAGCCCGGAGAUGGACACUGAGACAAGGGUCCAGGCCCUACGGGGCGCAGCAGGCGCGAAACCUCCUCAAUGCACUAACGUGCGAAGGGGUUACCUCGAGUGCCAUCUGAAGAAGGUGGUUUUUCCUUGGUCUAAAAAGCCUCGGGAAUAAGAGGGGGGCAAGACUGGUGUCAGCCGCCGCGGUAAUACCAGCCCCUCGAGUGGUGGGGAUGAUUAUUUGGCCUAAAGCGUCCGUAGCCGGCCGGGUAAGUUUCCCGUUAAAUCCAACGUCUCAAGCGUUGGACUGCGGGAAAUACUGCCUGGCUAGAGAGUGGGAGAGGUCAGCGGUAUUCUGGGGGUAGGGGCGAAAUCCUUUGAUCCCCGGAGGACCACCAGUGGCGAAGGCUGCUGACUAGAACACGUCUGACGGUCAGGGACGAAAGCUGGGGUAGCGAACCGGAUUAGAUACCCGGGUAGUCCCAGCCGUAAACGAUGCAUGCUAGGUGUUGGGUUGGCCACGAGCCACCCCAGUGCCGCAGGGAAGCCGUUAAGCAUGCCGCCUGGGAAGUACGAUCGCAAGAUUGAAACUUAAAGGAAUUGGCGGGGGAGCACCACCAGGCGUGAAGCCUGCGGUUUAAUUGGAGUCAACGCCGGGAACCUUACCGGAAGCGACAGCAGAGUGAAGGCCAGAUUGAAGAUCUUGCCAGACGAAAUCUUCCGGGCCACACGCGGGCUGCAAUGGUAUGGACAGAGGGCUGCCACCCCGAGAGGGGGAGCCAAUCCCUAAACCAUACCUCAGUUGGGAUUGAGGGCUGCAACCCGCCCUCAUGAACAUGGAAUGCCUAGUAACUGCCAGUCAUCAUCUGGCGGUGAAUACGUCCCUGCUCCUUGCACACACUGCCCGUCGAACCACCCGAAUGAGGUUUGGGUGAGGAAUGGUCGAAUGUUGGCCGUUUCGAACCUGGGCCUCGUAAGGAGGGUUAAGUCGUAACAAGGUGGCCGUAGGGGAACCUGCGGCCGGAUCACCU
rnacentral:rRNA from 1 species